AUUGAACGCUGGCGGCAGGCCUAACACAUGCAAGUCGAGCGUGAAAGUCCUUCGGGAUGAGUAAAGCGGCGGACGGGUGAGUAACGCGUGAGCAACCUGCCUUUCACAGGGGGAUAAGGCGGCGAAAGCCGCUCUAAUACCGCAUGAGACCACGGGGAUGAUAUUUCUGGGGUCAAAGGAGCAAUCCGGUGAGAGAUGGGCUCGCGUCCGAUUAGGUAGUUGGUGAGGUAACGGCCCACCAAGCCAAUGAUCGGUAGCCGGCCUGAGAGGGUGAACGGCCACAUUGGAACUGAGAGACGGUCCAAACUCCUACGGGAGGCAGCAGUGGGGAAUAUUGGGCAAUGGGGGAAACCCUGACCCAGCAACGCCGCGUGAGGGAAGAAGGUUUUCGGAUUGUAAACUCUGUUCUUGGAGAAGAGAAGAAGACGGUAUCCAAGGAGGAAGCCCCGGCUAACUACGUG
rnacentral:rRNA from 1 species